GUUCACUUGUGGCAUAUGGUUCACUUCUCACUUUAUUGCAGGGAACAGUGUUUUUUCCUCCCCAAUCUUUUUGCUACUGUAUAAUAUGUAUAGGCAUUUUUUUCCCCAAAAUCUGAUGCCACAUUUCUUCCUGCUUGCUGCCUAAUCACUAAAAUUUGUCAUAUGUUUAAAGUGUUUUUUAUUUUUAUGUUUUUAAAGUGUUAUUCAAAGGUAUCAUCCCACUUUUAUAUUAGUCAGGAUAACAAUAUAUACUAUUUAAAAAACAGUGGCAUAGAAGUAUUUUUAAAAUGUCUCUUUCUCUGUCUUUCCCCAGUGCAAAUAGAAUCAAAAGUUCCUGAUAUAGAAUAAGCAAAUGAUGGAAGAAGCCAAGUUUCCUGAGUGGCCACUAGGAAAACUCUGUCUUCUUUAUCAAAACUAUGAGAUAAGAAAACUGAGACAGAGGGAGGUUAAGAGUGAGGCCAUACAAUGCCAUCGCCAUCAAGCUACCAACGACUUUCUUCACAGAAUUGGAAAAAACUACUUUAAAGUUCAUAUGGAAACAAAAAACAGCCCUCAUUGCCAAGACAAUCCUAAGCAAAAAGAACAAAGCUAGAGGCAUCACACUACCUGACUUCAUACUAUACUACAAGUCUACAGUAACCAAAACAGCAUGGUACUGGUACCAAAACAGGUAUAUAGACCACUAGAACAGAACAGAGGCCUCAGAAAUAACACCACACAUCUACAACCGUCUGAUCUUUGACAAACCUGACAAAAACAAGAAAUGGGGAAAAGAUCCCCUAUUUAAUAAAUGGUGCUGGGAAAACUGGCUAGCCAUAUGUAGAAAACUGAAAUUGGAUCCCUUCCUUACACCUUAUUCAAAAGCUAAUUCGAGAUGGAAUAAAGACUUAAAUGUUUGACCUAAAAUUGUAAAAAACCCUAGAAGAAAACCUAGCCAAU
rnacentral:lncRNA from 1 species